GGGAAUCUUCCGCAAUGGACGAAAGUCUGACGGAGCAACGCCGCGUGAGUGAUGAAGGCUUUCGGGUCGUAAAACUCUGUUGUUAGGGAAGAACAAGUGCUAGUUGAAUAAGCUGGCACCUUGACGGUACCUAACCAGAAAGCCACGGCUAACUACGUGCCAGCAGCCGCGGUAAUACGUAGGUGGCAAGCGUUAUCCGGAAUUAUUGGGCGUAAAGCGCGCGCAGGUGGUUUCUUAAGUCUGAUGUGAAAGCCCACGGCUCAACCGUGGAGGGUCAUUGGAAACUGGGAGACUUGAGUGCAGAAGAGGAAAGUGGAAUUCCAUGUGUAGCGGUGAAAUGCGUAGAGAUAUGGAGGAACACCAGUGGCGAAGGCGACUUUCUGGUCUGUAACUGACACUGAGGCGCGAAAGCGUGGGGAGCAAACAGG
rnacentral:rRNA from 1 species